GGAGCGUCCGUCUGGCCAAUAGCCGCGCUUCGGCUCUCCCUCCUCCCUACAUGUGACCAAUCGUCAGGCGCGGAGUCGGCGCGUGCCCGCCUCCCGCCGUGCCAAUCACAGGCUGACACAGGCGUCCACUAAUCACAGCUCGGGAAUGUCCGUCCGCAAUGACGAUUCUCACUCUUCCCCGUGAGUCAAUCCCUCCGCCGAGCCCUGGGGUUACGGGGAAUCGGGUCUUCUCCAUCCCUGGCCAAUCAAAACUCGGGACGGAGCCCGCGUCGUCCCUUUUUUAACCUAUAGCGAGCGGCAGUAGGACACCUUAGCCCUAUCACCGCUCCGCCGUGGUGUGUGCGUGCGCGCCUCUGAGGUAGCGGCGGACUUGCCUGCGCGCCCGUGGGCGGCGUGUGUCGUAACCAAAGACGUGAGCAGAGAUUGAGCACUUGUGACUAAAAAAAGCCUUUUAAUGUGCGCGGCUGGUGAGCGCCCCGGCUCCAGGGGCCCGUGAGCGGGUAGGCGUGGCUGCCUGCCCAGACACGGCGGCUGGAGCAGCGAAUUCGCCAGCUCCCGGCCAGCUUCAGGGGGGUUCAGCAGGAUUUUGAGUCUUAAACGAGGCCUAAAGAUGAUAAGUCAGAGGGGAGGGAUUAAUUUUCCCCCCUUCAAAACGUUCUUUUGUUUUUUUGGUUUUUUGGUUUUUUUUAGAUCUCGUAAUGUGUCAUAUAUGUGAUUAAAUUGUUUUGUCAAUAGUGUUGUAUUAGCUCUUGUACUUCCAGGUUUUUUUUGUGUGUGUGGCAAUAACCAGCUGUAAAGUUCCUCCUUUCAAGUAAUACUUUCGUCAUUUCUACUGUUAGAAAUAGGCUUGUGUUUAAUCUUAUAACCAUCUUAAAGAAAAUAAUACUACAUGAAAUACCUUAAUUACAUAUUUUCCACACACACACCAUCAUAUACAAAUUGCAUUUCAGCUGUUGAGAACAGUUGGGACCUGAGAUGUCUGCUUUCAGAACGAGCUUUACUUUUGUUCCCAGGCCCCGUCUGUUAACUAUAUAAAUUUGGCCGUGUCUCUCUCGUUGCCCGUCACUGUCAGGUUUUUGGGAGAGUGAGGUAUUGGUUACUUUCUGUUUGGUGAAUUGCGAUUUAUUUUUUUUCCCCUUGCCAAUCUAAUGGUGUGUACAUAUCACCUGCAGUUGUGCCUGUGAAUGCAAAAGCCCAACGAUAUAGGGCUGAACAGCGGGUUGUAGGGAAAUAAAAGUGCAGAACCAACGCAGCAAAACCAGGUGGCUUUCAGAUGAUCUAGAAAAUGCCAUUAUUCGAACUUUGGAAGACUUCCUAUUGAUGCGCCAUACGAUUUGGUGGUUUUUAGCGUGAUGUAACCGUGCUAACAUCAACCUAGGGCCAUGUGGAAUGAGGUCAGUUCCAGUUUCUCUAAAAAACAACAAAACCUAUUUCGAAAUGCGCUGCCAGCUGUCAAAAUACUGGGUGUGUGCUGCAGUCCUGUGUGCUACCAGACAAGGGGAUUGAUUCCACUUCAGCAAAGUUUGUGUCGUGUCUCUUAGGAACAGCAGUUCCUGCAUCACUGUCUUAUGUCUAAGUUUGGAGGAUACUCACACCAAAUAGUUCCAGGAUGAUAAUUCGCUUUUUGUUUACAGAGUCUUGAAAAAUCUGCUAGAAGUGCUCAGAGAAAGUCGAGCUGUAUGUUGAGAAAGAAAAUGGUAACGAGCACAUGACGCGUGCUGUGUAGCGUCUGGGAGAUCACUCACGGCAAAGGGAGGCGGAGGAAAAUUGCUCUUUAAAUAGCCAAGUAUGGAGGUGAAAGGUGGUCGGGUAUGAAGGCGGGCCUGGGCUAGCUGCUUGUGAUGCCUUUUUAAUUAUAGAAUUUAGGCAUUUUAUGUCAAUUCAGGUAGACUUGCCUUCUCAGUGUCAUUUUUGAAAGUCAGGUCUCCUUGGGUAAUGUGGAAUUAACUUGCUAAAAUAUGUACCAAAGUGGAAUUCUAGUGCAAUGUUCUGCCCGUGAAUCCUGUUUAGAAAAAAUGAGCGUUCAUUCCCUUAUAGGAAAGGGACCAUUCUUAUUCCUUUACAUGUUUCUGACAAAUACCAUAUAACCCUGCAAAACAGCAGAAACAGAUCCAAUUUUCUACAAGUGUCUGUCUUUACAACUAGAAUUUAGACAUUAUUUUUCAAUAAAAUAUUCACAUAAUGAAGAUCCUCACCACAAGGUAAGUUAUUCAACAUUAUUGUACCAGAAAAAAGAGAGCAAGUAGGACUGUGAAAAAUUUAUUGCAUUUAUAGUACAAAUAAAUGCAGUUGGGUACUGCAAUCACUGUGAUAUCAUUCAGCUGUCCUUGCUGCCAGCAGGGAAGAGUUCACAGAGAUGUAAAUUGUGCUAUUCUGCAAGUGUAAAUUGUGAUAUAAUAGAAUCAAUUGUACUGAACUCUAUUGCUAUCCACGUCAGAGCUCGCCCCUGUAAUUUCUCCAGUCACGUAACCAGAGGGCAAGUAAAGACCAGAGACGGUCUUGUAACUUCGCAUUUUCCAAGAAAAGCACGUUUUGCGACAUUGAUGGAAGUUCCUGCGAUGAGGAAAUCACAGCUCAAAGCUAUUCAGAUCCCGCAGAUACACAUAAACAUCAAAGAUAAUUUGAUCAAUUGAUAGCUUGUGUUCUUUAUAUUAAAGUCUCUGUAUAUAAGGUUACAAUUGUAUUGAAAAAGGUAAAUGGCAUGUUAGUAGGGGGAGGGGAAAUAACAAAUAACUGCAGGUGGUAUUAAACACAUUAAACUAAGAAUUGUCACACAGCCGAUACGCUUUCGUGGGAGAUUUAUUCUUAAUCCAAUACUAACUUCGGCUUUCCUUUUCAGUUCCUCCAAUGUCGAUUAUCCCCUGAAAGACAGGGGGUUGAUUCACUUUUGUACCCAGAAGACAGCAAUAUAACGAAGAAAGCCAUAAUGAAACGGUAGCAGUUGCAGCGCCCUGCAUACCCGUGUAACGUGUUCCGAAACCACGAUGGAUUUGGAUGCUGGACAACAGCUUGCAGAGAAGCGCAGCGGCCUUGGCUCCGUGACGUUUAAAGAGGGAAAGAGAGGGGGAUUUGAAUUGGUGGAAGGAGUGGAGGUUAAGGAACUAAAACCAGCCAACAAACAAGCUGCUCUGUUCCAACAGCCCGUGCAGACACAAACUUCGGAAUAUUCCUCCCACCCUUGGGGAAAACAAAGGUAUGGGGGGACACCAGCGCCAAAAAAACCCAAACAACCCCCGCCACAAAACAAACAACCACAACAAAAACCCCACUACAUCUUCACAUUUUAAUGUGGAAUUACUUGCACAUCUCAAAGGUCAGCACUGGAUUAUAUAUAACCUCACCACAAUUCCCCCUGGACCCCGUCACCAACUGCCACGUAGCUAUUAAUAGGUGUAAGAGUCACCACUUGGGAACAUUCAUUAGUUUGGAGUAUUACUGUUAUCUGUGUGCACAGAAAUUUUUCACAUAAUUUCCUAAGUUAUCUCCAGAUUGCAAACCCGAACACUUGAUUUUUUUAUACUGUCACUGACACACUUAAAGGAAAGACAAAGGAAACAUUUUGUGCGAGUGUGUAUCAUUUAUUGUAGUUCAAGAGAGUCAGGAAUUGAACAGAAGACACAGCGAAAAACAAAUAAAAGAAAAACAACCUUUUUUUUUUCAGACUUAAUUUUAAAACACUGUGGUUUCAAAUCCUUUUUAAAAAGGAAAUUCAAGUAUCGUAUGCAGGGGGCAGUAAUACAAAAAUGUUUGCGAAUAUUUUUUUUUUUUAAGUUUUUUUUUAAAAAUGUAAUUGUACAUUUCCUGCACCCUUUCUGCUUUGGUAAGGCCAAGCCAUGGAUACAAAUUGGUACGCAACAUAAAAAAAUGAACCCUGCCCCAAACUGCAGCCUCUAAGAAUAAAAGGAUCUGCUCUCUGCGGACAAGCUCUAAUGGCUCAGAACUGUCAUGUAGCACGUAUCAUAUCUGCAGCAUUAAAAGAACGGAUUUUGUUUGUUAAAAGUCACUGAGAUCCUGGUAUUCCCAAGCAUCUUAUUCGUGGCAGCUGUUUUAACACGCUUCUAUCUCAAGGCUUUUCAGAAAUACCAGAUCAUCUAGAGCAACGUAAAGAAAAAAGAGA